GCCUCCACCUAUGACUCUUCUAGGGUGGGGGCUUCCGCGCUGAAAUUUGAAACUGGCCUGGUGGAGGGAGGGAGGAGAGAUGGAAGAAAGAGGCAGACCCUUCCAGGCUGCUAGGCGGCAGUUUUUAAAAAAGCAAGGAGGGCAGUUUUAAAAUAAGCCUACUUACGAGGCUUGUCUUCAGCAGCCGUAAGACCAGACCGUUUAUAGAGGCCUUAACGGGGUUCAGCCACGUAUACCAUCUAGACGUCUAAACACGUUGUGCCCUCAAGGCUGUGCCCUCGAAAAGCGACCCCGCCGUGGAACUGGUGGGCGGAAGGUACAUUCCACGGAGAGCGGAAGGGUGGGGAACUACUGAUUACCAAUCCAGCUCUGGGUCAACCAGCGGUCACGUCCUCUGGAUGACCUCCUCCUCCAACACUGCAGCCCCCGGGCCUGCGCUUCCACUCUUACACGCCCCUCCCACCCGGGAAGUGUGUCCUGAGCGGUCCUCAGGGGGCGUUCUUGGCACGGGGGUGCCUCCUUUGGUAGCUAACUGGCUGCGCUGGAGGCAGACGCCACAGUAACAAUUUAGUAUCUGCGAGAGAAAACACAGAUUAAGACCAUGAUUCACAAAGUAUCAUUAUAUGUCACUUUAUCCUUCAACAAUUAGGAUUAUGGAGAAAACAACUGCCUUCUCAGCACAAACAGUUCUAUUCUGCCACAACGCUCCCACACUGCCCUGUUGAUACAGCCCUGCAGAACCUCGCUGUGUGUAUAAAGGCACGAAAACCAGAAGGGCUCUCAUUCAGAGAGGUCAUAAAGCAAGAACUCAAGAAAUGCUCA